rnacentral:tRNA from 1 species
CUAGGGUUAGUCCAAGUAGGAUUGCGGCUUUGGGAGUUGUAGGAAUUACCCUUGA